rnacentral:rRNA from 1 species
CUUGCACUUGAUGACGAGUGGCGCACGGGUGCGUAACGCGUAUACAAUCUACCUUUUACAGGGGGAUAGCCUUUAGAAAUGAAGAUUAAUACCCCAUAGUAUAAUGAUAUGGCAUCAUAUUAUUAUUAAAGAUUCAUCGGUAAAAGAUGAGUAUGCGUUCUAUUAGCUAGAUGGUUUGGUAACGGCAGACCAUGGCAACGAUAGAUAGGGGCCCUGAGAGGGGGAUCCCCCACACUGGUACUGAGACACGGACCAGACUCCUACGGGAGGCAGCAGUGAGGAAUAUUGGACAAUGGAGGCAACUCUGAUCCAGCCAUGCCGCGUGCAGGAAGACUGCCCUAUGGGUUGUAAACUGCUUUUAUACAGGAAGAAACCACUCUACGUGUAGAGUUCUGACGGUACUGUAAGAAUAAGGAUCGGCUAACUCCGUGCCAGCAGCCGCGGUAAUACGGAGGAUCCAAGCGUUAUCCGGAAUCAUUGGGUUUAAAGGGUCCGUAGGUGGAUAAUUAAGUCAGAGGUGAAAGUCUGCAGCUCAACUGUAGAAUUGCCUUUGAUACUGGUUGUCUUGAGUUAUUAUGAAGUAGUUAGAAUAUGUAGUGUAGCGGUGAAAUGCAUAGAUAUUACAUAGAAUACCAAUUGCGAAGGCAGAUUACUAAUAAUCAACUGACACUGAUGGACGAAAGCGUGGGGAGCGAACAGGAUUAGAUACCCUGGUAGUCCACGCCGUAAACGAUGGUUACUAGCUGUUCGGAUUUCGGUCUGAGUGGCUAAGCGAAAGUGAUAAGUAACCCACCUGGGGAGUACGUUCGCAAGAAUGAAACUCAAAGGAAUUGACGGGGGCCCGCACAAGCGGUGGAGCAUGUGGUUUAAUUCGAUGAUACGCGAGGAACCUUACCAGGGCUUAAA